AUGAACGCUGGCGGCGUGCCUAAUACAUGCAAGUCGAGCGAACGGACGAGAAGCUUGCUUCUCUGAUGUUAGCGGCGGACGGGUGAGUAACACGUGGAUAACCUACCUAUAAGACUGGGAUAACUUCGGGAAACCGGAGCUAAUACCGGAUAAUAUUUUGAACCGCAUGGUUCAAAAGUGAAAGACGGUCUUGCUGUCACUUAUAGAUGGAUCCGCGCUGCAUUAGCUAGUUGGUAAGGUAACGGCUUACCAAGGCAACGAUGCAUAGCCGACCUGAGAGGGUGAUCGGCCACACUGGAACGGAGACACGGUCCAGACUCCUACGGGAGGCAGCAGUAGGGAAUCUUCCGCAAUGGGCGAAAGCCUGACGGAGCAACGCCGCGUGAGUGAUGCAGGUCUUCGGAUCGUAAAACUCUGUUAUUAGGGAAGAACAUAUGUGUAAGUAACUGUGCACAUCUUGACGGUACCUAAUCAGAAAGCCACGGCUAACUACGUG
rnacentral:rRNA from 1 species